rnacentral:rRNA from 1 species
UACGGGGGGGGCAAGCGUUGUUCGGAAUUACUGGGCGUAAAGGGCUCGUAGGCGGCCCACUAAGUCAGACGUGAAAUCCCCAGGCUUAACCUGGGAACUGCGUCUGAUACUGGAUGGCUUGAAUCCGGGAGAGGGAUGCAGAAUUCCAGGUGUAGCGGUGAAAUGCGCAGAUAUCAGGAGGAACACCGGUGGCGAAGGCGGGUCUCUGGGCAACAACUGACGCUGAGGAGCGAAAGCGUGGGGAGCGAACAGG